UGGGGAAUAUUGCACAAUGGGGGAAACCCUGAUGCAGCGACGCCGCGUGGAGGAAGAAGGUCUUCGGAUUGUAAACUCCUGUUGUUGAGGAAGAUAAUGACGGUACUCAACAAGGAAGUGACGGCUAACUACGUGCCAGCAGCCGCGGUAAAACGUAGGUCACACGCGUUGUCCGGAAUUACUGGGUUUAACGGGAGCGCAGGCGGGAAGACAAGUUGGAAGUGAAAUCUAUGGGCUCAACCCAUAAACUGCUUUCAAAACUGUUUUUCUUGAGUAGUGCAGAGGUAGGCGGAAUGCCCGGUGUAGCGGUGGAAUGCGUAGAUAUCGGGAGGAACACCAGUGGCGAAGGCGGCCUACUGGGCACCAACUGACGCUGAGGCUCGAAAGUGUGGGUAGCAAACA
rnacentral:rRNA from 1 species